AAUGGGCGCAAGCCUGAUCCAGCCAUGCCGCGUGAGUGAUGAAGGCCCUAGGGUCGUAAAGCUCUUUCGCCUGUGAAGAUAAUGACGGUAGCAGGUAAAGAAACCCCGGCUAACUCCGUGCCAGCGGCCGCGGUAAUACGGAGGGGGUUAGCGUUGUUCGAAAUUACUGGGCGUAAAGCGCGCGUAGGCGGAUUAGUCAGUCAGAGGUGAAAUCCCAGGGCUCAACCCUGGAACUGCCUUUGAUACUGCUAGUCUUGAGUUCGAGAGAGGUAAGUGGAAUUCCGAGCGUAGAGGUGAAAUUCGUAGAUAUUCGGAGGAACACCAGUGGCGAAGGCGGCUUACUGGCUCGAUACUGACGCUGAGGUGCGUAAGUGUGGGGAGCAAACAGGAUU
rnacentral:rRNA from 1 species